rnacentral:rRNA from 1 species
GACGAACGCUGGCGGCGUGCUUAACACAUGCAAGUCGAACGGAAAGGCCCUGCUUUUGUGGGGUGCUCGAGUGGCGAACGGGUGAGUAACACGUGAGUAACCUGCCCUUGACUUUGGGAUAACUUCAGGAAACUGGGGCUAAUACCGGAUAGGAGCUCCUGCUGCAUGGUGGGGGUUGGAAAGUUUCGGCGGUUGGGGAUGGACUCGCGGCUUAUCAGCUUGUUGGUGGGGUAGUGGCUUACCAAGGCUUUGACGGGUAGCCGGCCUGAGAGGGUGAACGGCCACAUUGGGGCUGAGAUACGGCCCAGACUCCUACGGGAGGCAGCAGUGGGGAAUAUUGCACAAUGGGCGGAAGCCUGAUGCAGCAACGCCGCGUGCGGGAUGACGGCCUUCGGGUUGUAAACCGCUUUCGCCUGUGACGAAGCGUGAGUGACGGUAAUGGGUAAAGAAGCACCGGCUAACUACGUGC